CAACCCUUGUCCUUAGUUACCAGCACGUUAAGGUGGGCACUCUAAGGAGACUGCCGGUGACAAACCGGAGGGAAGGUGGGGAUGACGUCAAGUCAUCAUGGCCCUUACGGCCUGGGCUACACACGUGCUACAAUGGUCGGUACAAAGGGUUGCCAAGCCGCGAGGUGGAGCUAAUCCCAUAAACCGAUCGUAGUCCGGAUCGCAGUCUGCAACUCGACUGCGUGAAGUCGGAAUCGCUGGUAAUCGUGAAUCAGAAUGUCACGGUGAAUACGUUCCCGGGCCUU
rnacentral:rRNA from 1 species